UUGGGAGACAGUGCCUACCCCUCCAAGAAGUGGCUCCUGACACCCUAUGUACGACUUCAGCCGGGCCCACAGUCCGCCUAUAAUAGAGCACACAAAAGGACAAGGAGCACAGUGGAGAGGGGGAUUGGCCAGUGGAAGCGGAGAUUUCAUGUGCUCCAUGGUGAAAUCAGAGUCAGCCCUCCUGCAUAUGUGUGUAGAAUAAUACAGGUGUGUGCUAUUUUGCACAACAUCUGCAAAGACAGACGCCUCCCUGUACCCGAGGAAGGAGAGGACGAGGGUGAUGGUGCAGUUUUCCAUGAGGACCCACCUGUCCCACUACCACCUGUACCUGGACGAGUUCGGGAAGUGACAGACCUCAACCUCAGCCUCGUGCAGCUGUGUGAGGCUUCCCGACCCAUCAACAGGUUAAUUCCACACCUACUUCCAAGUAUG